AUCCAGCUGACGAGUCUCAAAUAGGGCGAAACGCGCAUUCCAGAU
rnacentral:hammerhead_ribozyme from 1 species